rnacentral:tRNA from 1 species
GCUAGCUCACCCUGGUAGAGCAACGGACUCCUAAUCCGUAGGUACUUGGUUCAACUCCAAGGCUGAU